ensembl:lncRNA
CCUCCUGAGCCUGGUAUUUGGGGAAAAAAAUACCCAAACAAACCCCACGCUCCAACCUAUCUGAAUUUAGGAUGGAGGCAGCGCUGGGACUGGAUAAUUGAAGGGAAGCGCACAGGUUUGGGAGUCUGCCCCUUUUUAUUUUUGUUGUUCUUUUUUAACAGCAGCUGUGCAUCCAUAUUUAUUGAGGGAAAGAGAAGAAAAACCGACCGUAAUCCCAGGAAAGCAGAACAUCUUGUAAUUAUCUCGGUAGCUUGGCUAGCACAGGCGAACGGAGGCUCCCGCGAGUGGGGGCUGACCACGAGUGCUGCUCUAAUUUCCCAGAUCUGGGUCAUUAGGGAGGGCAAACAGGAGAGAUCUGAUGUUAAACAUGCUCUGAACAUUAGUGGAAUAAAAGGAGCUGAUGGACAAUUGUCUCCUCCCCAGAAAGGAGCAAGGCGGGAGUCGAUAGCCUUCCUCCUCUUUGCUGGCUUGGCUCCUUCGCGGGCGAGCAAGGGGUGACGGCCGCCUGCCCCGGCCGGGGGCCGCUGUCCCCUGCCUUCACCCCGCUCUUCCCCACUCGGUGCGGCUGCUCCGAGGCCGCCGGCUCUGCCGAGGGUAUUGCAGGCCGGGCAGGGAUGAGCGGGGGAGAGGGUCGGGCCGUUGGGGGGCUGCGCAGGGCUGCUGUCCACCGACGCCGACCAGUGCCGCGGGGCGCCAUGCCACCCACGCCGGAGCGGCAUCGCAGCACCAGCCUGUUUACCCACUGCCCGCAGCAAAAGGCAGCGUCUGCAACUGCCAUGGAAACAGGAGCGAGGAUCACGGGGAGAAAUUGCAGCCUGUCUGAAGAGCAAAACGCUCUCUGGCCUCGCCGUUCGACCGGCCGACGUYGGGAAUCCCUCCCCGGGGGCGCGUUCCUCCAAAGAUCAAUGGGACAAAGUAAAAACUAGGAUGGGCUCUGGUGACCUCCUGCUUGGCUCUCUCCCGUGCAGCCUUGCAAGAAGAAAAGCGUGUGGGCAUCUGUGCUUCGCUUCUCCCUUCCCCAGGGCUUUAUCAGUAUGCGGGGCCUGUUGCCUCGAUGAAGGGCCUUUACUGCCUUUGUACCGUCAAGGUUACCGCAGCGGCCCGUUCUGCAGAGGGAGGCCCCGGUGCCGCGGCGCAGCCGCUUCUCCCAGCCGGYGGAAGGGCGGCGGGGCCUCCUUCUCCUCCUCCAGCUGCGGAGGCGGCAGCGGAGCUCGCGGGAGGCGUGGGGCAGCCCGUGCAUGGGGCGGGCAUCGGUGCCUGCUGAGCCCUUUACGGCAGGGCUCCGGGAACCAUUCACAAAUUCGACAUGUAAUUUUGGGUUUUUUUUAGCAGAAACUCCGUCAUGCUGUUGUCACGGGGUGGGGAGCCGGUCUGAACGAACGUUCAGCUGCGAGUGCCGUAGUGUCAACAUGUAGACACGCGCUCGCAGACACACCUGCUCUCGACACUGUAAUGAAGGCAAAUAUUUAGAGAAUGGCAGAGUCCAAAUUGCUCCGCGUUGCAGUCGGAAUCAACAGCCCUGUGAAGGCUGGGAUUAAUUUGAAGAAAUUUACUGGCGGAGUUUGCGGCAGAUAAAACAGUUUGCUUAUUUCACACUUGUAUGGCCACCUGCUACGAACUGUUUGUUCAGUUUCAAAUUCUUUAAUUAAAAUCAACAUAAAACAGAUU